AUUGAACGCUGGCGGCAGGCCUAACACAUGCAAGUCGAACGAAUGGCGGACAGGUGAGUAAUGUAUGGGAAACUGCCAGAUGGAGGGGGAUAACUACUGGAAACGGUAGCUAAUACCGCAUACCAUCAGAUGUGCCCAGAGGGGAGUAGCUAGUUGGUGGGGUAACGGCUCACCAAGGCGACGAUCCCUAGCUGGGCUGAGAGGAUGACCAGCCACACGGGAACUGAGACACGGCCUAGACUCCGACGGGAGGCAGCAGUGUGGAAUAUUGCACAAUGGGCGCAAGCCUGAUGCAGCCAUGCCGCGUGUAUGAAGAAGGCCUUUGGGUUGUAAAGUACUUUCAGCGGGGAUGCGUUACCCGAAGAAGAAGCACCGGCUAACUCCGUGCCAGCAGCCGCGGUAAUAC
rnacentral:rRNA from 1 species